GGAUGUGGCUCAAGCGGUAUCACGCUCGCCUGGUAUGCGUGUGGCCUGGGUUGGAUCCUCAGCACCACAUCCA
rnacentral:tRNA from 1 species